AGCGAACGCUGGCGGCAGGCUUAACACAUGCAAGUCGAGCGGGCAUAGCAAUAUGUCAGCGGCAGACGGGUGAGUAACGCGUGGGAACGUACCUUUUGGUUCGGAACAACUGAGGGAAACUUCAGCUAAUACCGGAUAAGCCCUUACGGGGAAAGAUUUAUCGCCGAAAGAUCGGCCCGCGUCUGAUUAGCUAGUUGGUGAGGUAAUGGCUCACCAAGGCGACGAUCAGUAGCUGGUCUGAGAGGAUGAUCAGCCACAUUGGGACUGAGACACGGCCCAAACUCCUACGGGAGGCAGCAGUGGGGAAUAUUGGACAAUGGGCGCAAGCCUGAGCCAGCCAUGCCGCGUGAGUGAUGAAGGCCCUAGGGUUGUAAAGCUCUUUUGUGCGGGAAGAUAAUGACGGUACCGCAAGAAUAAGCCCCGGCUAACUUCGUGCCAGCCGCCGCAGUAAAAC
rnacentral:rRNA from 1 species